UACGUAGGGGGCAAGCGUUGUCCGGAUUUAUUGGGCGUAAAGAGCGUGUAGGCGGCCAUGUAGGUCCGUUGUGAAAACUCGAGGCUCAACCUCGAGACGCCGAUGGAAACCAUGUGGCUAGAGUCCGGAAGAGGAGAGUGGAAUUCCGUGGUGUAGCGGUGAAAUGCGCAGAUAUCAGGAAGAACACCCGUGGCGAAGGCGGCUCUCUGGGACGGUACUGACGCUGAGACGCGAAAGCGUGGGGAG
rnacentral:rRNA from 1 species